rnacentral:lncRNA from 1 species
GUCGUUUUAUCCUUCUAUAUAAAUCAAAUUUAACAAAAGAAGGUUCAUUUCUGCUGAAAAUAAAAAAACUCAAGAGGGCCUUAUUCUUUUUCUCUGCUGGGGCUCCUGCGCCGAUCAUGGGUCCGGUCAUCGGACUGACGCCAUCCGCCGCGAGGUCGCUGCGUGCGGUGGCCAGAAAAUCGAAAAGGUACUUUUUCUCUUAUUUUUUGUAUUUUUUUAGGUUUAUAAUAUAUGUAUAUAUGCGAGGAAAUAAAUUCGAAAAUAGGAUAAAAAUAAAAACUAAAAUCACCUUAGUCCUUCGAUUGUGAUUUUGGUAUUUUGGUUGCCUGAUUUUGUGAUAUUCUCGUGCUUUAGAUGUUACUGAGAUUACUGCUUUUGUUUAUGUUUAAAUCUAUUUUUGUAUUGAAAAGUUGCCGAAUGUUUUGUGUUUGCAAAGAAAAAAAUUGCUGAAUCCCUAAAUCGAUUUUUGCUUGGCUUUUUAAAGCCACUUACAUGCCUUUCCUCUUCUCUCUUUUUUUAUAUUAUCUGUCUCUUCUGCAUUUAUUCUGCAGGCGCAAGUGGAGGCACUGACUAGGACUGUGGAGUAGGUGGCCGACUGGCAUGGGGGAUGGGACAGAGGUCAGAGGCGGCAGCAGCUGAUUUAGGGUUUUUUUUUGUUUCACCUUUGAUUCGGGCUAUUAGGGUUAAUUUGGGCUUGGGGUUUAAAUUUAGCUGGGUUUAGCUAUUUGGGUCUGGGUGUGAUUUGGGCUUUUUGGGUUGCAAUUUUAGAUUGUAAAAAAAACUGAACUUUUAAUUUAUUUUUGGUUUUUGUUUGAUUAUUUUCUGGACCCAGGUCAAAUUGGGCCUCUACAAAGGGAAGUAAAUAAAAUUUGACUUACCAAAUAUUAGAACUAUUUCCUAACUUACUAAAUUUCUAAAAAAGUGACUACUACCCACCGUAUCGAACCUAUGAUCUGAUAAUUUUGAUAUGAUAUGAAUAUUAAUAUAUUGAGUUUUAA